GGAUAAACAGACAGUCUCACAGUUACUUUUUUCUUUUUCUUUUCUAUUCUCUCUUCUUCUUCUUCUCCCUCUCCCUCUCCCUCUCCUUCUUCCUCGUUUUCUGAAAGUUUGAGAAGAAGAAGAGAGUCUUUAUACAAACAAAAAUCUAAAAUUUGAGAAU
rnacentral:ribozyme from 13 species